GACCGGCGCACGGGUGCGUAACGCGUAUACAAUCUACCUUGUACAGGGGAAUAGCCCAGAGAAAUUUGGAUUAAUGCCCCAUAGUAUUAUUGAAUGGCAUCAUUUAAUAAUUAAAAUUACGGUGGUACAAGAUGAGUAUGCGUUCUAUUAGCUAGAUGGUAAGGUAACGGCUUACCAUGGCUACGAUAGAUAGGGGUCCUGAGAGGGAGAUCCCCCACACUGGUACUGAGACACGGACCA
rnacentral:rRNA from 1 species